CGGGGAACACCGGAAAUAACGUAAAUGGCGCGAACAACAUCAACAAAGAGCACCGUUCAAUUUCGCUGAACAGUCUCCAUAAAUUUACAAAUAUUUUUUAAUAUUUCCAGGCCUUGCUAGACAGUACCAAUACCACUGCAGUGAUAAUUGGAAAUAUAUAUAUUUUUUAAGUUUUUUUAGCUAAGUUCGAAUGUUAGCUUAUCGGCGUUUCCUUGACUUGCAUAGACCAAAGGGCAGCAGAUCUGGAGAAAGUGACAUGUAUCGAUGAGUUCGUCCUCGACGAGACGUAACAACGUUAAAAAAAUAAUUCUGUUUGUAGUCGGACUUGGUUUAUAUUGCUGUCAUUACACUACUUUAAUUUGUUAACACCCAAAAGCUGACUAAAGGGUUGACCAUGUCUGAAAGUGACACGAACGACUUUAUCGUGAAGUUUGUGGAGAGUCAAGGCCAACAAACGGAAUAUGCUGUCAAGGCUUAUGAGGCCAUUUCGGAGCUGCAGUCUGAGAAGUACUUAAAAACCGUCUCAGAGGAAGAUGUUUUACAGAUGGACAAGCGGGACAAUGCUCUGUUUGUCUUCAGCUCCUUUAGCUCUCCUGCAUUUCUGCACUGCUCCAAGCUCGGAUGUCGAAUUGUGAGUCCAUUGGUGGUGCUGUACUGCCUGCAGCACCAGCGCUGUGUCCCUAAGGCGGAGAAGCCUGUGUAUAACAUGGCCAUGGCUGACGUCGUCAUUUCCUGCACAAGCCUAGAUAAAGGAACACGGAAAGAGAUGAUGGAUCUUGUCCAACUCAUGGGCGGUCGGGUCUUUCUCGACCUUAGUUUGCCAGUCACACACCUGAUUGCAGGAGAGGUGGGCAGUAAGAAGUACCUGGUGGCUGGCAGCCUGGGAAAACCCAUCCUGCUGCCCUCUUGGGUCAAAGCAUGCUGGGAAAAAUCACAGGACAGUCUGUUCAGGUUCACAGACUUACCCACUGAGGACUACCUGUGCCCUGUGCUGCUCGGUUGCACCGUGUGUGUGACCGGACUCUCCAGCACGGAUCGAAGGGAGGUGCAGCGUCUGUGUCAGCAGCACGGGGGAAAUUACAGUGGACAGCUCAAAAUGAAUGAGUGUACCCACCUCAUUGUUGAUGAACCAACAGGACAAAAGUAUGAAUGCGCUCGUAAGUGGAACGUGUACUGCGUGUCGCUGCUCUGGCUGUUUGACAGCAUCGAGAAAGGCUACUGUCAGGAUGAGAGCAGAUACAAAGUAGAACAAAAGACGUCCAAGACCAACACCCGACCUCACACCUCUACCCCGACUGGAUCCAACAAGAAGGGAGAGAGUCUGUCUUUGUUGGGCUUGAGUCACAUCUCCGUCAACGCCAGUAUGACCAUACAGGAAACGGCUCUGACCGAUAACACCACCAUGAGUCGUCUGGAGGCCCCCGACCUUACAGACAACAUGGACAUCACUGUCUCUCCAGCUGAUGAUUUACUGGACGGUUGUAAGCUCUACCUGUGUGGUCUGCCGGCCAAGAAAAUGGAGAAGCUGCGACGUCUCGUCAACACAGCAGGUGGUCUGCACUUCAACCAGCCGAGUGAGGAACUGACACAUGUGGUUAUGGGAGACCUGGACCAGGACCUCAAGACCUUCAUCUCCAAAGCCAAUCACAGGCCUCAUGUGGUAACAGUGCAGUGGCUGCUGGACAGUUUCACCAAAGGCACUUUACUCCCAGAGUCAGACUUCUUCCACUCCGACUGCCUGCCUCCCACCCUACCCGCCGUAUCCGCGCCAGUCAGACACGUUCCCACCUCCCGGCCCUCACUGGGCCCCCCUGUGGCCAGUCCUGAAACCCCCAGAAAGGCAGAGGAAGACCUGUUGUCACAGUACAUGGAUGAUGACCCAACAGUAGUUGACCUGCCGCCACCAGAACCUGAGAACAACAACAGGACGUCCAUGAGAGCAGAACCACGGCCCACAGAGUCCUGGGCUCCACAGCAGUCCAGACUGAGAGAAACAGAGUCCACCCUGCAGGAGGCCAGCGGGGCCGGUCUGUUCUUCGGAAAGUGUUUUCUUCUGGUGGGCUUCGGCUCGGAGGCUGAAGCCCAGCUCUCUGCGUUGGUGACGGAGCACGGAGGGAGAGUUCUGACGGGUCGAACACGGAUCGUCGCUGAUUUCGCUGUGGUACCUCUGUUGGGCUGUUCAGUGGAGGCGACAGUGGAUGAGGUGGUGACGGACACCUGGCUGGCCAUGUGUGUGGAGGAGGACUGUGUCCUCCAACUCUCCUCCAACCCUCUCUUCACUCCUGUUCUCGUCAUGGACGGACGUCUCCCCCUGAAAGACAGCGUUCUCUCCGUCAGCCAGUUCACCGGAGCAGAGAGAGAAUCUUUGGUGGAACUGGCCAAACACCUCGGAGCCAGCGUACAGGAUUACUUUGUGCGCCUGGCCAACCAGAAGAAAGGCAUGGUGGCCAGCACCCACCUGGUGCUGCAGAGCCCUGAAGGCACCAAGUACGAGGCGGCAAAGAAAUGGGGGCUUCCUGCCGUCACCAUGCACUGGAUCCUGGAGUCUGCUCGCACUGGGAAAAGAGCAGACGAGGAGAAGUUCCUGGUGGAUCGUCCUCCAUCACCAGAGAGGGAUGAAGAGAGUUUCGUCGGGGGGUCCCAGAAGCCGGCCACGAUGCCCUCGGCCCGUUUAUCUCCUGAAAUCCCUUUGCUGGGUUUCCAGAGUGGCAAAGCGGUGACUCCACUGGACUUGGGUCGCUUUCAGAGCAAAGUCUUCCGUUCCGUCCUGGACGAGAUGAAGCCCAAAGACGUCAGCUCCCCAAAACCAAAUCAGGAGGGCGGUUCCAGGAGGAAACAGCUUCAGAAGGAGCCUUCGCUGCAGCUGGACACUCCCUCUCGUUUCCUCAGCAGAGACCAGCUCUUCAGGCCAACCUUCAACGUCAAGGAUGCCCUGGGAGCUCUGGAGACUCCAGGUGGAAGAUCUAUGCCUGGAGAGAGGGUGGAGACUCCGUUGACUGACGUCGUCAACAGGAACCUGAAGGUGGCGCUGGCUAACAGCACACGGAGCAAAGACGCGCAGGAGAUCUCAGCUAGUCCGCAGCUCGUCAAGAAAGAGGAGAAGCAGACUCCAGGCCAACAGGUGGCUCCACUGAGUGGUGUUGUCAUCUGCGUGGGAAAGAAGCUGAGCAAAAUGCAAAGUGAACUAAACGCCGUCGCCGCCUCCCUCGGAGCAGACUUCAGGUGGGCCUGUGACGACACAGUGACCCACUACGUCUACCAGGGCCGUGUGGGCGACAACAGCAAAGAGUACAGAGCUGUGAAGGAGAGAGGACUGCACGUGGUGUCACAGCACUGGCUGCAAGCUUGUGCAGAGGAGGAGAGACGUGUCCCCGAGUCUCUGUUUCCGUUCAGCUACAACCCCAAGAUGAGUCUGAACCUCAGCCAAGUUCCUAACAACACGCAGAGGUCUCCACCGCUGACCAGGACGCAGCUCAGGAGCAUGGACAAUGAGGCCGCUGAUGACGCUACACAGCAGGAGACCACAGACGAAGCUACAACCUCACGCCGUGUCAGUAACGGAAGUGUGGAACCAGAAGAGAUGAACAGCACGCAUGAACGGAGCGACAUCUCCGAGACUCUGGAAAUGAGGGAGAACCUGCAGAGACAGCUGCAGGAGAUCAUGUCAGCCACCAAGUUGACCACAGGGAGGCGUACAUCGGUCAGACUGGCCCAGAUGGGAUCGGUAGGGGUGGAUUCAAGGCCAAACACACCUGAUGGAAGCAGAGUUGGACGCAGCGGGAACAGGAGAACUCUGGAAGCCCUGAGGGUUCACAGAGAAGCAGCCAUGGACAUAAACACUGAGCCCUCCCAAAGCGAGCAGAUCGUCUGGGACGAUCCCACGGCCAGAAAGGAGAGAGCUAAGCUGGCCGAUAACCUGCAGUGGCCUGGAAGUCCAUCCCAGAACUCGGAGCCACAGGCAGCAGCGCCUCCUCCGUCCGCAGAAAACAGUCUUCGGUACGGGGAGUCCAUGACUGACUCUGAGCUGGCAGAGAUGGCUGCCUGUGCGGUCAUCGAUCGACAUAUGGGCCAGAAAACGUCGCCUCCACCAGACGAGUCAGAGAACAACAUCCUCACUCCUAAAGCUCCCAGCAUCGCUUUUCCUCUGGCUAAUCCUGCCGUAGCACCAGAGCCACAGGAGGAGAGAACGGAAGAAAGGCCUCCGCCCAGAUUCCAGCUCUCCUCCCUCAGCCCUCAGGAGCGUAUUGAUUAUAGUCACCUCAUCGAGGAGCUGGGUGGCGUUGUUCUGGACAAACAGUCCUUCGACCCCAGCUGCUCCCACAUCAUUGUUGGGACUCCCCUGCGCAAUGAGAAGUACCUGGCAGCGCUGGCAGCCGGGAAAUGGAUCCUGCACCGUUCGUACCUGGAAGCGUGUCGAUCAGUCGGUCACUUUGUCCAGGAGGACGAGUACGAGUGGGGCAGCAGCUCCAUCCUGGACGCUCUCCCCUCCAUUAACUCCCAGCAGAGGAGAUUAGCAUUGGCCGCCAUGCGCUGGAGGAAAGCUCUGCAUGGACGCAGUAAACAAGGAGGUGCCUUCAGUGGAUGGACGGUGAUGCUGAACAUCGACCACAGCAGAGAGUCGGGCUUCAGGAGGUUACUGCAGUCUGGAGGAGCUAAGGUUCUGCCCAGUCCUUCUCCGUCCCUGUACAGAGAAGCCACUCACCUGUUCGCUGACUUCAGUCGACUGAAACCCACAGACUUCAGAGUGAACGUGUCUGAGGCCUCCUCCCAAGAAGUCACGUGUUUGAAGCCAGAGUACAUCGCUGACUACCUCAUGCAGGAACCGAUUCCACCCCUUGACCUCUACCUCCUGACCUCGGCUCCUCCUGAGGAGACCCCCGACACGCCGUCACGUAAACGUAAAGCGGCAGAGGACACUUCCAGGCUGAAAAAGAGUCGUUUGAACUGAAGUGGUUGUGACAGCAGUGCAGCCGCUGCUCCUCACUGUGGGACUGUGGCGGUGAUGGAUGAGUCAAUCUGAAGGUCAUUUUAAAUGACAAAAAGUCACAUUAAGGACCAAUCGAAUUAUUCCACACUUGUCUCAGAGAAACACCAGCUUCACCCACGAGUGAGUACAACCGUCCUUCAUCUUUGUGUUCUACAAACACCA